UACGUAGGGUGCAAGCGUUGUCCGGAAUUAUUGGGCGUAAAGAGCUCGUAGGCGGCUUGUCGCGUCGGCUGUGAAAACUCGAGGCUCAACCUCGAGACGUCGGUUGAAACCGUUUGGCUAGAGUCCGGAAGAGGAGAGUGGAAUUCCCGGUGUAGCGGUGAAAUGACGCAGAGUAUCGGGAAGAACACCCGUGGCGAAGGCGGCUCUCUGGGACGGUACUGACGCUGAGACGCGAAAGCGUGGGGAGCAAACAGG
rnacentral:rRNA from 1 species